GGCGGGGUGGCGUAGUUGGUAACGCAAUCCUUGCCUCACCGGCAAUGGCUAGACCCUGGUUCGAUCCCAGGCCCGCGCCA
rnacentral:tRNA from 1 species